rnacentral:rRNA from 1 species
UACGGAGGAUGCAAGCGUUAUCCGGAUUUAUUGGGUUUAAAGGGUGCGCAGGCGGGAGAUUAAGUCGGCGGUGAAAUUUUGCAGCUCAACUGUAAAAGUGCCUUCGAAACUGGUUUCCUUGAGUGUAGAUGAAGUAGGCGGAAUUUGUGGUGUAGCGGUGAAAUGCAUAGAUAUCACGAGGAACUCCGAUUGCGCAGGCAGCUUACUAAACCACUACUGACGCUCAUGCACGAAGGCGUGGGGAUCAAACAGGAUUAGAUACCCG